rnacentral:snoRNA from 1 species
CUAGGGAUGAGAAUUUAGCUGGCACCAGACUGAGAAAACGUGUACUCUUCUGCAUGCGGAUCGGCUUUACAUGGCAAUUAGCCUACACUCUGAA